GGUUGAACGCCCAGAACAUGUUUGUAUCAUUUUUGUUAUACCUCGACGUCAAUUUGUAAUGUGUUCGUAUAUCACUAUAUAUUGUGGCUAUCUAUAACUGUUUGAUAACCUGGAUUUUAGCCUACAGAUUAGCAUUUAAGGUAAGUUGACAUGUUAUAUAUGGUGUGUAGGAAUUACGUUUUUGUCGAUAAUGUCCAAUGCAAUGUAUUGCUGCAUGCAUGCUGACAUAAUAAUGACAAAUAUUCAAUACAAAUAAACUUCUUCACGAUCAUAUAUUCUACAACACAACUUAUGUUAGAAGUGCUAUCAAUUUCUUAAUGGUAAAAAAACUUUCGAUCACUAAGUGAGAUAAUAUAAACAAGGUUAUUGUAGAGGUUAUACCAUACAGUAUGACAUCUUUAUUCAUGCCUACAACUUAACUAAUGAUGCUUCCUUUCUAUCACUUAGCUGAUUAAUAUAUAAAGAGUUGCUGUUGGACACUACCGAUAAUCUAUGAAGUGAUUUAAUCUCUGAAGAUUGGGGAAACGCAAAUAUAAGCCAAGUUGGUCUUGAAGUUUCGUUUUAAGUUUUAAAAUAUAUAGGUUUUGAUAUAAAAAUAUGUUAUCGUGGUAUGGUAUCAGUCUUGCAUUUGGAAUUAUCUGUAUCCCAUUCGCUUCUGUCAUGAUAGCAUAUCUUGUGUGGAACACCAAGCGAUUGAUAAGUCAG